AUACAUCGUGCAUGGGACAACGUAUAAACUAUAUCCGCAACUCGACAGUUCCUUGAAAACGCUGAUUAUUUGAGACUUACACGUGUUUUCGUUUCCUACGUAUGAUAAAUAAUAUAUUAUAUACAUAUUUAUAAAUAUAUAGAAAAUAUAUA